rnacentral:rRNA from 1 species
CCUACGGGUGGCAGCAGUGAGGAAUAUUGGUCAAUGGACGCAAGUCUGAACCAGCCAUGCCGCGUGCAGGAAGACGGCUCUAUGAGUUGUAAACUGCUUUUGUACGAGGGUAAAUCCCGGUACGUGUAUCGGGUUGAAAUUAUCGUACGAUUAAGGAUAGGCUAACUCCGUGCCAGCAGCCGCGGUAAUACGGAGGAUUCAAGCUUUAUCCGGCUUUAUUUGGUUUAAAGGGUGCGUAGGCGGUUCGAUAAGUUAGAGGUGAAAUCCCGGGGAGCAACUCCGGCACUGCCUCUGAUACUGUCGGGCUAGAGUGUAGUUGCGGUAGGCGGAAUGUAAGGUGUAGCGGUGAAAUGCAUAGAGAUCAUACAGAACAGCGAUUGCGAAGGCAGCUUACCAAACUACGACUGACGUUGAGGCACGAAAGCGUGGGGAGCAAACAGGAUUAGAUACCCUGGUAGUC